rnacentral:rRNA from 1 species
GUAGUCCACGCCCUAAACGAUGUCUACUAGUUGUUGGGUCUUAAUUGACUUAGUAACGCAGCUAACGCGUGAAGUAGACCGCCUGGGGAGUACGGUCGCAAGAUUAAAACUCAAAGGAAUUGACGGGGACCCGCACAAGCGGUGGAUGAUGUGGAUUAAUUCGAUGCAACGCGAAAAACCUUACCUACCCUUGACAUGGCAGGAAUCCUGGAGAGAUCCGGGAGUGCUCGAAAGAGAACCUGCACACAGGUGCUGCAUGGCUGUCGUCAGCUCGUGUCGUGAGAUGUUGGGUUAAGUCCCGCAACGAGCGCAACCCUUGUCAUUAGUUGCUACGCAAGAGCACUCUAAUGAGACUGCCGGUGACAAACCGGAGGAAGGUGGGGAUGACGUCAAGUCCUCAUGGCCCUUAUGGGUAGGGCUUCACACGUCAUACAAUGGUACAUACAGAGGGCCGCCAACCCGCGAGGGGGAGCUAAUCCCAGAAAGUGUAUCGUAGUCCGGAUUGUAGUCUGCAACUCGACUACAUGAAGUUGGAAUCGCUAGUAAUCGCGGAUCAGCAUGUCGCGGUGAAUA